UAUAUAUAUAUAUAUAUAUAUAUAUUAUCACGAUAUACAUAUAAUAUGGGUUUACUUUCUUAAAUAAAAAUACUUAGAUUUUUUUAUCAAUCAAAAUGGGUAUGUUAUAUAAAUAUAUAAUAUUUAUUUUUAAUCAAUAAUGGGGAUAAUCAUGGAAUAAAUAUCUGGCGAAAUUAUAGGGUUUAAGGGAUAAAAAAAUUAGGGAUAAGGGAUACAAUACUUGAGUUUAUAUAAUUAUCUUUUAAUUUAUUUUCUUAAAUAAAUUAAUAAUUGUAUUUUUGCAAAUGAUCAAUUUAGAUAAAAUCAAUCUAAACUCGCAUCAAACUAUAAGUCCUCUGCCUUAGUGCAUUGAGGCAUUUUUCAAAAUCAAUUACUUCUCCGCCCCCGAUGCGUGAGAACUUUCAAGGGAUAACAAUAAUCAAUUAACCAACAUUUUUUAAGACGAACUACGAGGCUCUGAUCCUUCAAUAAAUUUGAGGGUACGUAGGCAUAGAGUUGUAAGACUCUAGCGAGUAUAAUAAUCAAAAACAUUUCUUAGGGAUUCUCUUACUAUAAUAAUAAAACAUUUUUGUAAAUAAAUAAAUAAUUAAACAAUUAAUAAAUAUUAAAGCAAACUUUCCUUAGAAACACACUAACCUUCGAACUAAAGGAGGAUCCCAUUGAGUACAAUGGAGGUAAGGAGUGCCUAACACCUUCCCCUUACUUAACCGACUCCCGAACCCAGUAUCUCACCUUUAAUUUAUAGGUUUUAUCAUUAUUUCCCUGUUCCUUAGGAACGAAUAAAGGAUGGUGGCGACUCUGCCAUUUUUCCAGCCGCAACAGUAUUUAUCUCAUAAACGAAAAUGAUUCAAACAUUCAAGGUAUUGUUACACAUAUGCAUACACAAAUAUAAACCCGUGGGCAAAACCAGAUGUUACCUCAUACAUUCAUAAUAUUCAAAUUCAAGGCAUAAAGUAAUAGGAACAAAGGCAUACCUGAUGAGAGAGACUGAUUAGGAUUGAAUGGUACGGCCGGAUCUGCAAAGUAGUACUAGGGUUUGUGUGAGGCGGAGUGAACUUCUCAGAGCUGCCUGAAGG
rnacentral:lncRNA from 1 species